GCGGUGACUACGAAGAUGAUGACUACGGCAAGCGUGAUUAAGGAUGAAACAUAGGUUGUCAAUCCAAAAGAAACAGUCAUUUUUCAUACAAAGAUUAAUAUGACUACGAUGAUGGGAGAAAAAUAUAAUGUUAUGCAAGAAGAUAAACAGAGUAAAUAGAAUAGAACAUUCUUCAUAUGGUAUAGUUCAUAUUAAUGAAAUUAAUAAUAGUGGAAGUAAUGCUUAUUCUCUGUCAACCCAAAAGUUCUAUAAACUAAACCCAAAACACUAAUCACUAAACUCUAAAAAAAAAUAUAAACCCUAACCCUAAUAUCAAAAUAUGCACACAAUACAUAAUAUGAAGCAUUAUUAAAAUAGAGUAGUAAAAAUCGAAAUAGCAUAGUACAUAUUAACGUCAACCCAAACCUUCCAUAAACUAAACCAAAAACACUAAUCACUAAACCCUAAAAAGAAAUAUAAACUCUAACCAAAUAUCAAAAUAUGCAUAUAGUACAUAAUAUGAAGUAUUAUCAAAUAGAAUAGUAACAAACGAAAUAGCAUAGUACAUAUUUUUCAAAUUUUGAAAUAUUUAUGAUUGCAGGAAUGAGAUAAUGCUUACCCCAAACGUCAAUCCAAACCUUCCAUAAACUAAACCCAAAACACUAAUCACUAAACCCUAAAAUAAAAUAUAAACUCUAACUCAAAUAUCAAAAUAUGGAUGUAGUACAUAAUAUGAAGCAUAUUAAAUAAAAUAGUAACAAACGAAAUAAUAUAGUACAUAUUGUCCAAAUAGCAUGGUAUAACCAAAAACUUACGAUACAAAUGAGGGCGCUACGACCUUAACGCUGUCGUGAUCUGUAGAUUUCAUGGCUAUGGCGAUGGUGGUUCAGUGAUAAAUGUGAAUAUGAAUGAGGCGAUAAUAAUUAUGAAAAAGGGAUACUGAUUAUAGAAAAAAAAAUCUAUAAAUACAAAACACAGUGGAAAAUUAGUGAUAAUCGUAUUGUAACGGCGUCAGAGGACAAGGUGGUAGAGAUGAAAGCAGACUGAUGGUAGUUGUUAAUCGAAGAAGAGGAGAUAUUUUCAUCUUUCAUUAACCGGUUACUAAGGAUAUUAUAGUAUAUAUUACAUAAAUAAUAGAAGUACUUUUUUCGUUGGUUAGAUAUUUAAUUAUGUUUUGAUUUGUAGCUAUCCAGCCCAAUUUUCCUUAUAAUAAAAAUUUCAUGGGUGUUCAGGACCAAUUCAAAAAGAGUAUUUGCACUCUACACACACUUUAGCUUAAUUAGGUAUAUACACAUUCACCAUUUCCAAUGUAUCUGUCGAAACUUUCAUGACCAUUUUACCCUUAAUACAUAUUUCGAUUAAGUUCCUGGUUGCAUGUAAUCAAAAUCUCAUCUUUUAGAUAUUUGUAUAUGAUAACCCAUUUUCUUACGGCAUCUUUGUGUCAGACAAGUUGGUUUGUCAGUUUUGAAACCUUUUCAUUUGCCAAAAUCCUCGAAUCUCGAUCUUCUUUCUAUCCCCCAUCUUAUUUCCAUAUUCUUCUCAUAUUCUUGUUGCUUUAAAUCAUUUUCUUGUGGGUAUUAUUGUAUUUUGAGGUGGUAAUGAUUUCUGAACUGGGAAGAAGGCCGAUGCUUAGAGAUUCCUCCUUUGGGGAUGAUUAUGAGAAAGAGAUUGGAGCUUCGCUUGGAGAGAAGUGGUGACGGCAAGAGGAAGCUGAUGAGCUCAAGAAAGAGCUUAACUUGUACCGAAGCGGCUCCGCUCCGCCCACUGUGGACUGUUCCUUUAGCGCCGCUGCCGGAGGGCUUUUCAGCGGCGGAUGUGGGUUUGGUGGAGGAAAUGGGUUUGGUUGUGAUAAUGAGGAGUUUAGGAGAUUUUUUGUAGUUUUUGUCCAAGGCCCUGUUAAAAUGAUGGCUGAUGAUCUUGAUGCUGAAGAAGCCACUCAUGUACCAGGGAAUGACAAUGUAGGUGACAAGUUAUGGUUAGCCGUUGGCGUUGUUCAUUACAUAGUCCAAAUUCAUUCUUGCUUUUGGGUUUACUAACUUUAGCAUCAUUAUUACUCUAGUACCAGGCCACUUAUCCGCUUAGCUUUCCAUUUAAUAGUUUCGCACAUAUUUUGUUAGUCUUGGACUUGUGUUGUACCUAUCAUUUGUCUUUGCUCAUAGCUUGUUUGUAUCCUACUACAAGGCUUGCUAAUUUUGCAAAAUGAGAAAGCUUAGCUAUGUAAUAGGUCUAAAAAUAUAUACACAUCGAAAAAACGACAAUGGCAAGUUUUGUUGUCAACCUC